rnacentral:lncRNA from 1 species
AAUACAUUGUUUCUUGUUAAAAGCAUAAGACUUUGAAAUGUCUCUGUGUUGCAGAUAUGUAGAUGUUCUGAGCCAUAAUUUUUGGAAAAUUCUUUCAAAGAAAAGGAAAUCUACUGGACAAAUAGCAUGAUUAAUGGGGAUCUAGUGACAAAAUAAUCUGCCCUAAUUGGAUUUGUGAUGUUUUUGCAACUUGAAAUUAGCUUCAAAAUCCAACAAUAAUACGAAAGAAUGUUCAGUAUCACGAAUCAAAUUAAAACCAUAAUUAAAUCACCUCCUUUCAUUAGGGUAGCUACUAUAAAAAAAAAGUAAAACAAAACAGAAAAUAGCAACUGUCGGCAAAGAUGUGGAGAAAUUGGAACCCUUGUGAAACCAUCCCACAGUGUUGACAAGAAUUGCAUGCUGGGUUCUGGACAGAAAUAGUUCCAAUUAAGUACUAAUCAGUCUGCACUUGGGCCCACUUACUCGUUGUUAAAAGUCAUGUAGCCCUGGAUGCUGACCAUGUACAUCUGCAUUGUUCCUAUAGAUAAGAUCUCUGACAUUAGAAUCAUAAGGCUUUUGUUUAAGGAUCACUUAUGAUGUUUUUCACACCCCAAAUUCCAGCAGCCAGUUUGAAGACUCCCACAGAGUAAUGGGAUCAAUAUGAGAAUACAGCUUCUUCAUCUCCCUAUCUCAUGACUUCACCCUCUACUCUUCCAACCAAUCAGUGAUCUCCACAUUGCAGCCCAUUCCAACACUCUUAAAAACCCCUACCCCCAAAUGCCUCAGGGAGACAGAUUUGAGGUUUCUUCUCAUCUCAUUUAGUGACCCUAUGAUUAAACCCCUUUCCUUGCUACAACCUGGUGUCUCAGCUUAUUAUUUGCUGUGUGCAUGGGGCAAUGAACCUAUUUCAGUUACACUUGUGCACUGUUGGCAAGAAGGUAAAAUGGUACAGCCACUAUGGAAAAUGGUAUGAAAGUUUCUCCAAAAAUUAAAAAUAGAAUUCUCAUGUAACCCAGCAGUCCCACUUCUGGGCAUAUAUAUC